GGCCCCUGGGCCUUGCUGUUUUGCUGACUGACACCUCAGCUUUACCUGGAGGGAGCUGCCUUUCCUCCAGGCUCUCCUGGUGCCGAAAGCAGCAUCACUAAUGGGGAACCAUUUGGAAGUGGCGCUUUCUGCUGACAGACGAUGUAUGCCAGCCGUCACAGUCACAUUCGUGUAGUCCCACAGGAUAUGCUGAGCAGCUGAAAAUGCCAGGCAACAGCCAUAUGAUCCCUGCUUCUGCAAAGGGUUGCUUCACCAUCCUUGGGGUUCCCUGACACUUCUGCUUGUUUCCAGUUUUUCCUUGUGUCCAGUUCCUCCUUGCUUCCAGUAACCUGCUUUAGCCUACUCCGUCUCCUCUGCUGAGUCCCUGCACCAUCCUCUGACAGGCAUCUCAAGCCUGAGAACAGUGGAAAGCACAUCUGUGGCUCUGGACCAGCCAGCAUUAGGAAGAUGGCUCUGCAAACAGCUGGAAAGAGCUGGAAUUGGUCUGACACGCGGCUGCAGGGAGAGCCAGGGAUGGGAGCCCAAGCUCACGUGCAGCCCAAGCAGUCACGUCUGAAGAAAGCAACUCUGAUGGAAACGCGAUCACCAGGGCUUACAGGAGGCCUCUCUACUCUGUCGCUUCUUGUUGCCAG